UGCAUUGUUUCAUUGUUGUUUUUCCUUUAGUUUUUUAACAGCCUAUUUUGAAAUGGGAAGGUGCUUUGUUUUCAAUCCUUAUUGACUGCCAUUUCAUAUUGCUGUAUUUCAAGGAUAGUCACAAUUACUGCCGCCUUCUGAGAAGUUAUUACUUCUGCUCCUUACGUAAAAUUCAUCCUUUAUUAUGCUUCCACCCAACUAUACCACCACCUCUUCUCCCUUACUUCCAACCAGCCCAGUGUUUGCUGUACCCGAACAUGUUAGCUCACCAGAUUCUGCGAUGCUCUCACUCACUCUGCUAGCCAAUGCACAGGUAAUUUGAGAAAUAUUGUUUGUUCCUGUAGGAGUUAUUUCCAUCUGAUUAGCCUUACUCUUUGCUGUGAGUGAGCCCAGUCCACACAUGCACACACUGGCUCUUCAGCAGCACUGCCUUCCUGCCCCAGGAGGACUGCUGAGAUCCACAGGCUUCCAAGAGCUUUUUCUGAGAAUAUCUUCUCUAGAAUUACUCAGGUAACAACCAGCACUAGGCACAUCAUCCCAAUUCCAGUGCUUUUUGUGGGGUUUGCUUGCUGUCCUAGUGGCCAGGGGCUGCUGCCUUCAAGGGGGUCUGUUGUAGCUUGAUGAGUGGCAAGGCAGGGAUCAGAAAAGAUGGGCUGCAUGUCUUGAGGGGUAGCUCAUUUUGGGUAAGUCACUUCUGGUAAAUCUCAUGGGGGCAUGUAAAAUAAAGAUAAUAGUCUGACUCACCUUUGCAAAAAGCUUAGAGAACUCAGCUGAGAAGUGUUUUGAAAGAGCUAUGCUAUGUUACAGUGAUGCUGCCUUUGCCAUCCCCAAACCUCUGCUACGACUUUUCCAGCAGGAUUUCUAUUGGUCUGGUGUAGAGCAGAGCAAUACACUGCAGAGCUCUUCCUUAUUUUGCUGUCUUUUCCAAUGACGUUCAGCCACAAUGUAUAUUACAAAAGCAUUAUGGCUAUUGUUAGGCUGCUGUGUGUUGUCACCACUCAGUAACAGCCAUUUCCUGGAUUCCAUGGGAACCUGCUUAAAUUUCCUCAAAGUGACAAUUCAAAAUUAAAAUGAUCCUACAAAAUAAAUCCAGAAAGCUGAGAUUUCUUCUCAUCCUAAGUUCCCUUCUGCAUUGUGUUACUGGCAUUUAUUACCUAUUGAUGCUGUAAGUAGUAAAUUUUCUACAGUCAUGAGCUGUUGCUGCAUUAAGAGAAGCUGCAAAGGAGGCAGCAUGCCAAAAGGUGGAUGGAUGGAUUUAGAAGAACCGUGUGAUUCUGAACAAACCUCUCUGUAGCUGGAGAAAAGACUCCAGUAGAGAUCAGACCUUGAGGUUAGCAUCUUCAUCACUGUUAGACCUCUUCAUACAGCUUUCAAUUCUUGGUCAACUGUCAGAAGAGUCUUCCUGAGUAAAUAGUCUCCCACUGAACAGUUUGCUCCCUUGCUGCAGGGGCCUCCGCUAGAGAUCUGCCUUAUGCUGAUGCCCAGCAUGGGCCCUGACAGCUGUGGUUUGCUUAGUGCUUCAUAGAAAGUCUGUGUCUGUAGCAGAUGAUGUGUGUAACGUGAGUGGUGAUUGUUUCUUUAAGGCCCCCCUCUAUUCUCCUUCCCUCUCCACUGCUGCUCUCUUGAUAUUACUGCUGAUACAGAUUUUUUCUCUUGUUCAAUUUCAGUGCACCUGCUCAUAUAAACAAGACUGCAGUGGGGUUGCUCAAACUGAGCUUAUAUAUGACAGCAGGAGCAGCACCCUAAAGCAUAUUCCUAUGCACGGAGGAGUCAUUAGUACAGAGAAUGAAGCCUGGCUUAGGCAGUUUAGAUGCAUGGCUUAGGUGACCCACAGAAGCUAGUCACUAAAUUAGGAUAUUCUCUCAGUAAAAAGUCAGAUCAACUGUUAUGGGAAGCUGCAGGAAUGUUUUAGAGAGCUUGAAGUCAAACAGGAGGCUUUUCUAUCAUCCUUUCAGUUCUAGAUAUUCAACCUAUCUACACAUCUUCAUUAUUGCAUUAUACACUCAGUGUGAACCUAACUACCUAUAUAUGCUAAAGGCAAAGCAUUCAGAUUCAAUUUUACAAAAGACAAGCUGACUUGAAACGUGAAUUACUGUAUUACACUGUACUUUGGCCUUCAAGACAGGCUUGUACUCAAGCAGCUAUGUGUAAGUUGUUUUGCCUUCAUUCCUACUUCAACCAGAGUUAGUUUUCUUGGGUUAGCCAGCCUAUAGAAAGAACAUGUCCUUACAGUUGUUUUUUUCCUUCACAUUUCUGUGUAACCAGAAGGACUUAAAGAUGGAUAGGAAGGCCUUUGUGGCCAACUUUCAUGAGGCUGUGCCAUGUGGGAACUGGGUAGUAGAAGCUGUUUGGGAGGCUGGCAAGUGGAUGAAGAAGCCUGAGGACAUUGAGGCAGCAAAGGGUGGUUAAGAUAACCAAGAAUUUAUGCAAGAGAAUAGAUUUUAGGAAAGUUGUGAUGACUAGAGGGUGUGAUUUAAAUUCACUAUGGGCUGGAGAGCCUACAAAGAGGACAAACUGAGCAGUUACCUCACAACACCUUCACUGCAUCUGCCCACUGUUGGAGUAGUUGUGGAAACAUUAUCAUGUGAAGUGUUCGUGAUGCCAUGCUCCGUGCCUGGAGAAGGAGCUACUUGAUCAAAGAAGUGAAUAGAGGUGAAUUUACAGCUAACUUCUGAAACAGAGAUGUGAUCCCUGACAGGACCUUCUCCCUCCCAGCUCUGUGUGGUGGACCUCCCAAAGUGGCAAGUGGAUGAAGAAGUCAGCAGCCUGGCACUCUGCUGAUUCUGUUCUGCAUUCUUGACUGUUCCCCAUGGCUUAAGGGUUCAAGCAUCUUUCUUCCUCUUCCCCAGCACAUGUGGGAAAGCAGGGCGAAGAGUCCUGGGCCAGGCCAAUGUGGUGACUCAAGAAGAAGCUGAAGUGCUCCCCAGGCCUUGUGAACUGACCAAAACAACUGGCGAGGUUCAAAGUUUUAUUUCAGGGAAGGCAGGGUUAUCUAGAGCCUGGGUGAGGGUUAAUCAGUGUACAUUCAUCAUUAAUUUAUGCAUGUAAGGGGCUUUUGGAGUACAGUUGUCAUGCUGGUUUUGAUAAUGCUAACUCUAUCCACCCUGCCAGCUGCUGCGAUGUCGUGGUAGUCUGUGUUGCUGCAUGCAGAAUUAUGGUGCUUUUGUGGGAAUAUUAUGUUCCCUGAAUAGAGCCCCACAGAGCAAUUUGCUUCAUCCUUACAAACCCAUCCAAAUAACUGGCAGUGCCUUACAAAUACAAAACAAUUGAGAAAAUAAAUGUAUUAUACUGUACAUCUGUGACAAAACAAUGCUUUCAUGUGCAAAGAGAAAUGUGUUUGUUUAACUUAUGGUUUCCCAUUUGAAAAUAAAUGCAUUCAUUUAAAUUAAAAUGGGACGUUCUUCACUAUCACAGGAUUUUGCAUGCCAGAUGUAAGAAAUAUGCUGCUUGAAGAGCAGACUCAAAAUUUGGAGUGGUUGGUGUUACCAAAAGCAUGCAUCUGCUGGCUUAUCCUAGAUGCUGUCUCUUCCUGCAGGGUAUUCUUCAUCUGAGUAGAACGUUCCUGCCUUUGCAUGAGCAGUAUGAUCUCUAGGAAAGUUUUGGGAGUGAGAUUCUUCCUUGUGUAGCAGCCUUGUGCCUUAGUGCAUGCUGGAAAGCCUACUUUUCACAUGGGUUGUGCUUAGGAGGGAGCGCUAAAACUAACCGACCUGCUUCAGAACUUUGCUCUACUGUGACCACGAGACAGACUGACUUCCUACAAGAACCACGGCAGACCAAAGAUAUUUCAUUGGUUUUGGUUUUUGUGUUAGAGAAAUGUUAGUCUCAUUUAUAUGCAGCAGUGAAAAUGAUAGAUAGAUGGGGGGGAAAACAAUGAAAUACAAGUUGGAUGUUCCAAUAUUUGUUUUCUAAAAUGUGCCACAUUAAAUGCGCCUUUUAAAUGUUUGAGUUCUUGUAAUGAAAGUCUGCUGCAUUUCAGUUUACACAUAAGCUUAACAUCAUCAAGCCAAGUUUGUUCUGGGAGUUAACAUUUGCAUUUUUGAAAGCAGCAGCCUAAUCCAGAGUAAGACCUGAUGAGAUGACUUUAAUACAGCAUGGUAUGAGCUGCGGGCUGGUAGGUGUGAGCAUCCUCAGAAAGGUGCUGAAAUUUAUUUCGAUCAUUUUCCAAGAAUCCACAAACUUCUUUGACCAAAACUGAAGUUCACUGCUACCAGUGUUAGGAGUUGUCAACUGAAAUUUCACCCUGAUGUAGUUACUAGAAGGAGAAACAGCCAAGAAAUAAUAAAUACACCUCACUUUUUUAACCUGAACUUUUGAUAUCAAUGCUCAGACCAUCUUCUAGAUUCAUUAUUCUUCCUUAAUUGAAGUGUUUUUUUCCAAUUAUAGAUGGGAAUGAUGGAGUUAGCAGUUCUAGCCCUCUGCCCAUGCACUCUGACCACUGUAAUGCAGUGAUAUUUUUCAGGCGCAAUCAAAUCAGUGCAAGCAUGUGAUUGUAUUGUCAUUUAGUUGCCUAGGGGCCACAAGAGAUGAAAAUCACAGUUCAGCAAGCCUUUCCUUUCACUUUGGAAACAUCAUAGUUUGCAUCUACUCCAUCUGAAGUACAAAUAUCCUGUAUCCAGCCAGCCAGGGAAUGCAUUGUGUUACAGCCAGCAGGAAAUGUGCUGCAUUUCUGAAAGCCAACACCGACGUAUUGACUGAGAGACCAACAGGGCUAUGCAGCAAGGGUAGUUGGGCCUGGCUCAGUUUUUCCUCUGGACUGAUUAGUCACAUACUUCAAAUAAUUGCUGCAGGUGUGAUUAAUGUCAACUGCAUAGUUAAUUACCCAGAAGAUUAAAAUAACUAUGUUCCUUUUUUUUUUUUUAAAUCUGUAAAGAUGUUAAUUAUUUACUCUGCUCACCUCUCUGAUCUUGUUCUGCUUGUAAAUGAAUGGAAAUAUUGAUCCCAGAAUGGUUUUGGGUGCUACCUGUUUUGCAUCAGUCUAAUUAACUUUGACCCUGUUUGCUACUUCUAACCAUACUUUGUGCUUUGCUUUUGUAGAUAUCUUGAAGGUGGGGCUGGGAGGGAUCAUUAGGGUAUAACUGACCUCCAGGAUCUGUAGAAUUUCCCUGUGCAAGCCCCAUUAGUGCUCUUCUUAAGCCAUAUUGGCUCUUUGCAGCAGUGUCUUCUUGACCACAUCUCUUGGUAGCAGACUCUACCACCCAGUGGCUGUAACUGUUAAAACAAUCUUCUGUUUCCUCAGUGAACCGUUCCCUUCCCUAAGCUUCAAGCUCCAUCUUAUUCUUCAGUGUUGUCAGUCUGUGAAUGCACUGUUCCUCACACACGUACAAACUAUGUUUUAAUUAAACUAGUUGCUGUAACACAUUUCUCCACCAUGACAGAGUUAUGUUAGAAGGCUGCAGAUUUGCUGAUGGAGACGUUUGUUGCAUUUACCACCAUGGGACAGAGACCUGAAUGCCUCCUGGACUGCUUGGUUUAGCUAAGACUUGUGUACCAAAUCACUUCUCCACUCCCAAACAGCAAAGCUUCAUGAGUUGCUAGCAGAAUGUGGGCCUCCUUGCCACACUGACAAAAGAAUGCCAAUGUUAUGAACAGUAUAAAAGAUGUACCACUUCCUGAACGGACAGCAGCCCAGGAAGCUCCUCUGUUCUUACGUUAGUACAGAUAAAAAUAAAGGAAGCUUUAAGAGACCAACAUCUCUUUGAGCUCAUGUCACCUCCCUUCAAUCAGCUCUCUGUGCUGUCAUGUCCUUGCAAUUCAGUUUCCAGAGUUUCCAGAAAAGAUGAACCCACAUAACCUGGAAAGGCUGCUUUAGAAAUGUCUACAUUGCCAGGCUCAGGUCUUUCUACAGUUCUAAGACCCCCUCCCAUGCAUGCUUUGAUGGAGCCAUCUCCUCCUUCCUGAAAGACAUUAACAUCCCUUCCUUAGCUUAGCUAGAAGAUGCUGCUGUUUUGUUUGCUUCGCCACAGCCUAAUGCAGAGGAGACAGCCACUGAGCUGCCUCUGUCAGGAAGCCUUCUUGUAGCACACUGGUCUGGGCCUUAUGCUCUGCCUCCUUUUUCAGUCCAUAGUGGAUGCAAGUCAGAUGUGCCCCUCAGCUCUGGAGCUAUACUAUUUGUAUUAGACUGCAGAGACUCAUGUUUGCCUUGGAGAGCUCUCAUGUAGCUCAUGGAGAGUUGAAAUGGUGGCUGUUGCACUUCCUUUGAUUUCUUUUUCCUUGUAUGCUGAAACUCCAAAGUUACUCUUUGUUAAAGGAAAACAUGACAAUGUGGUCAGCAAAUAGCAUCUGUGGUCAUGGCUUUUGUCUCAACUCCUCUCUUAUGCAAGCUGAUGGGCUUGAGCAGGCUGGACAGUGACUGUCAGAAAGAGCCUUUCAGAAAUGCAGUACCAGCCCUCAAAUCCUAAGCCAUCUGUCAUGGUCAAAUUAAUGUAACCUUCUGUCUGCUGUUGGUGAGAGCUGGGAAGUAUUACAGCAGCUGGUGCUUGGUCCAGUAGGAUCAGUCUGGACACGUGGCUUUCUCGCUUGGGCCUGUUCCACUGGGUGCUUUGUAGCUGGUUCAAUUCGUGGCUCGGGAUGGAAAUGGCCCAAGUUAGUGCUCAGAUAUCCAAAUUCUCCCAUUGUUUUUCAGCAGGAGGCUCAGUUAUGGCAGCCUUGGGGCUAUAUGGACUUAGCACGGGCAUGGCUAGUUGUCAUGUACUCUACAAAGAUCCAAUGCAGGAUGUGUUUCUGCUGCUGGGUUUGGUGGCUGGUUUUGCUCAGUGAGUAAUGUCCUGAGUGCCAGACGGGUGCAAGCAAAGCCUGUGCUGCUGAUGGACGUGGCUGGUAUUGGGAUGGGUGUGCAAGACUUGAUGCUGGGAGGGCAAGUGGUUGUGAUUCGUGCUCUGACAUCCUAGUUCUGAAGCAGUCAUUGACAGAUGCCAUCAUGGGAACCUGGCUGCAGCUGAGCUGCUUGAAAGCUGGUAGGUUUCCUUGUAGCUUUGAAUGUAGCUCUAUUUUCUGGCUGCUGUAGAAAAUGACUUUGAAAAAUAAUAGCAGCUUUUAAGUCAAAUUGGUGUCAACAUUCACUCCAGGCUACUUGAAGCUAAUCAGUUUAAGUUCCUACUUGGCAAACAGAAUUCCUGUCUUACUGCCCUCCCUCUCCUUUUCUCAUAGCUGGUGAUUGUUUUUCACUAUCUCUUUCUAGUGUGUGUAGUCAGAGAGACGUUUGGUUGCUGAGAUGUAAGUUCUGGUAUAUUAUUGAAGGUACCUGCACAGUCUGUGCAAGCUUGGGCUUCUGUUUUUUUUCUUUUUCUUACAGGUUCUCUCUAGUUAGGAGCAGAGGAGAUAAAAAUCAAAAGCUGGUGAAGCUUUAGCACCUGCCUCAAGCACAGUUCAGCUGAUGAUAACCACCAGUCACUGCUCUCAGCAAGAGACCUGAUUCCACCCAUCAUGCUUGGACUGAGACAGGCUAGAAUCCAAAAAUGCAAAUGCCGAAACUGCUGUUUUCUUCUUAACCCUUCUUAUCAGCAAGCUGUGGAUGCUUGGGGAGUAAAGCCUGGUGACAGUGGUUGUCACACAGGGAAGAUGGGAUUGUGUUCAGGACAGAGCAAGUUGAAGAAAGCUAAAGGGAACUCUGAGUGGGAGAGCCUUGCAAUGGGACAACAGUCAAGAGAACACCUGAACAGCAGAGCACUUUGGUAGCAGUGAGAAAAGUCAAUAUGGGUUCUGAUAGCACAGCAGCACUCAGCAGGCUCAUCGCUUUCUCUGACCUACAGUGCUGACAUCCAAACUGAAAGGACUACGUUUAAGUGUCAGAGAGAUUCUCAGCCAUCUGCUGCCUCACCAGCUGCUCUCGGUGCAGGAUGAAACUUAUCUCAAUUCAGGAACCUGGGCCUCAGGCAGAGGGGUGAAAGGAAAUCGCUGACCUCACAAGCGCUGUCUGCAGGAUGCACGCCCAGACUGGACGUUGGAAAUUGGACGAAUCUCUUGUGGUAUCUCCCACUUUGGUCAGCACAAGCAGAGUGUUUCCCCAGUGAUGCAGUGGAGAAAGACUUGGAUCAUCCCUGUUUGUCCCAUGCAGUGGUUCAUCAGAUGUUUCUAGAGAAGGUAGGGAGAAAAUUGGCUUUGUUUCCCAGCAUGUUACCCCAGAGCUUGU